CUGAAAAAUAAGAACUUGCAAAAUAUGAGAGAUCAAAUUUCCAAGAUUUAAACUUUAUCCCCCCCCCCCCCCCCCAAAAAAAAAGAUCAAUUCAAGAAGCUUAUGAAACAUAAAUUAAACAAAAACCCAAUUCACAUUAUUAAUCAAAAAGCACCAAACGACACAUUGCAUUACAAAACUCCCACCAACUAUAAUCCAAACAAGAAAAAGAUUUAAACUUCAAAAAACAGAAUAAAAGAGCACAGUCUUUGGGGGGAAACAAAAUCAACUCACAAAAAUUAGCUUCAAUAUCUUCAAAAGACAAAGUAUGGUUCUUUCCUCCCACCAAUUAUAAUCCAAACAAGAAAAAGAUUUAAACUUAAAAAAACAGAAUAAAAAAGCAGUCUUUGGGGGGAAACAAGAUCAACUCACCAAAAUUAGCUUCAAUAUCUUCAAAAGACAAAGUAUGGUUCUUUCCUCCCACAAAUUACAAUCCAAACAAGAAAAAGAUUUAAACUUCAAAAAACAGAAUAAAAAAAGCAGUCUUUUGGGGGGAAAGAAGAUCAACUCACCAAAAUUAGCUUCAAUAUCUUCAAAAGACAAAGUAUGGUUCUUUCCUAUCAAAAUAACACUUCCAAUAGCUCCAUAACCCAUCAAAUACGCACAACUCAUCAACAAAAACACCCACAAAUUCAACAUCCCAAUUCCCAAAAAAAAAAAAAAAAAAAAAAAAAAAAAGAAAGAAAGAAAA